rnacentral:rRNA from 1 species
ACGCUCGACACCUACGGGGCAGCAGUGGGGAAUAUUGCACAAUGGGGGAAACCCUGAUGCAGCGACGCCGCGUGAAGGAAGAAGUAUCUCGGUAUGUAAACUUCUAUCAGCAGGGAAGAAAAUGACGGUAUCUGACUAAGAAGCCCCGGCUAACUACGUCGCGNNCGCGUAGUAUNGNGGCGGNGNGAGAG